GAGACCACAGAACCAGCAUCCUCCUCAGAGACAAGAACAUGCAGCUUCUGCUCCUCUUGAAAAACCUGAAGACCACUGAGCUCUGCAGACACUGACAGGAAGGAGCGGCCAUUUUAUGUUUAUGUCGUCCUGUCAUCAGAGACCACAGAACCAGCAUCCUCCUCAGAGACAAGAACAUGCAGCUUCUGCUCCUCUUGCUGUGGACUUUCCUGCUGAUGGACUCCUUUCUCCAAGG